rnacentral:rRNA from 1 species
AUACGGAGGAUCCGAGCGUUAUCCGGAUUUAUUGGGUUUAAAGGGUGCGCAGGCGGCCAUUUAAGUCAGCGGUUAAAUCGUGGGGCUCAACCCCAUUCUGCCGUUGAUACUGGGUGGCUUGAUUGCGGUCGAGGUUGGCGGAGUUCGUUGUGUAGCGGUGAAAUCCAUAGAUAUGACGAAGAACACCGAUUGCGUAGGCAGCUGACCAGAUCGCAAAUGACGCUCAUGCACGAAAGUGCGGGGAUCGAACAGGAUUAGAUACCCUGGUAGUCCGCACAGUAAACGAUGAAUACUUGUUUUCGGCGAUAUAAUGUCGGAGGCAAAGCGAAAGCGAUAAGUAUUCCACCUGGGGAGUACGCCGGCAACGGUGAAACUCAAAUGAAUUGACGGGG